CUCAGAGAACAAUAUCCAGCCUUAUAUAACAUGGCUCGCGAUAACAAUAAUACUAUUGCACACGUACUCGGUUCUUCCCCGCCGAAUAUUUCGUUCAGGCGGGAUUUGAUUGGCCCCCGGCUUGUGUCAUGGCAUAAUCUUUUAUCCCGGCUGGAUUCGAUUAACCUGACACAAGGUCGGGAAGUGUUUCGCUGGAACCUUACUACAUCAGGGUCUUUCACAGUG
rnacentral:rRNA from 1 species